rnacentral:rRNA from 1 species
AUUGAACGCUGGCGACAUGCCUUACACAUGCAAGUCGAACGGCUGAACGGGUGCUUGCCCCUGGUGCCGCGUGGCGCGGGGGUGUGUAAUCCAUCGGAACAUGUCCUGUUGUGGGGGAUAGCCCGGCGACAGCCGGAUUAAUACCGCAUGCGAUCUACGGGUGAAAGCGGGGGCUCCUCAGCCCUCGCGCUCAGGGGUUGGUCGAUGGCUGAUUAGCUAGUUGGUGGGGUAAAGGCCUACCAAGGCGACGAUCAGUAGCUGGUCUGAGAGGACGACCAGCCACACUGGGACUGAGACACGGCCCAGACUCCUACGGGAGGCAGCAGUGGGGAAUUUUGGACAAUGGGCGAAAGCCUGAUCCAGCAAUGCCGCGUGUGUGAAGAAGGCCUUCGGGUUGUAAAGCACUUUUGGCCGGAAAGAAAUCCAUGGCCCUAAUACGGUGGGGUUAUGACGGUACCGGAAGAAUAAGCACCGGCUAACUACGUG